UGGGUCAUGAGGUCUCUGCCCUUAUGAAA
rnacentral:piRNA from 1 species